rnacentral:rRNA from 1 species
GACGAGCGCUGGCGGCGUGCUUAACACAUGCCAGUCGAACGCUGAAGCUCAGCUUUUGUUGGGUGGAUGAGUGGCGAACGGGUGAGUAACACGUGAGUAACCUGCCUCCUUCUUUGGGAUAACGCCCGGAAACGGGUGCUAAUACUGGAUAUUCACUGGUCUUCGCAUGGGGGUUGGUGGAAAGGGUUUUUCUGGUGGGGGAUGGGCUCGCGGCCUAUCAGCUUGUUGGUGGGGUGAUGGCCUACCAAGGCUUUGACGGGUAGCCGGCCUGAGAGGGUGACCGGUCACAUUGGGACUGAGAUACGGCCCAGACUCCUACGGGAGGCAGCAGUGGGGAAUAUUGCACAAUGGGCGCAAGCCUGAUGCAGCGACGCCGCGUGAGGGAUGGAGGCCUUCGGGUUGUGAACCUCUUUCGCUCAUGGUCAAGCCGCAACAAUGGUUGUGGUGAGGGUAGUGGGUAAAGAAGCGCCGGCUAACUACGUG